rnacentral:lncRNA from 1 species
GCUCUGGGUCCUCUGGGAUGGCGCCUGGCUGUGGCCGCGUGGUCUCUCACGCAGGGGCGCCGGGCGGGGGAACGCGGCCACCCUGAGUCUGCUGUUUCCACGUGCGGUGCUCGUCGGGAGUGAUCACCUACCCUACAGGUGGAAGAUGGAUGCCUGAAGUGUAGACUGCUGCUAGCUGAAUACCAUCUGGGAGCAUAAAGGUGACCUGAAGGAUGUCCUUGGUGAGGAUUUUGAAAAUUUGAUCUUCACAAGAGUUGCCUGGAUCAUUUGAAAUUUCUGGGAGUCUGAGGAGUACUGACAUAAUUACCUGCUGGAGUCUGUAAAUACACAUUUAAGACAGUGAGGAUGUGAAUAAAUAUAUUAAUGCACUUUG